UUCCUGCUCUAGUAGGACAUGUACUAAAAUUGGAAUGAUGGAGCGUGACCCCUGCUCAAGGAUGACAUGCAAGUUUCUGAGGCGUGCUGUAUUUGC
rnacentral:snRNA from 1 species